rnacentral:rRNA from 1 species
AUUGAACGCUGGCGGCAGGCCUAACACAUGCAAGUCGAACGAGUGGCGGACGGGUGAGUAAUGUCUGGGAAACUGCCUGAUGGAGGGGGAUAACUACUGGAAACGGUAGCUAAUACCGCAUACCAUCGGAUGUGCCCAGAUGGGAUUAGCUAGGAGGUGGGGUAAAGGCUCACCUAGGCUACGAUCCCUAGCUGGUCUGAGAGGAUGACCAGCCACACUGGAACGUGGACACGGUCCAGACUCCUACGGGAGGCAGCGGUGGGGAAUAUUGCAAAAUGGGCGCAAGCCUGAUGCAGCCAUGCCGCGUGGAUGAAGAAGGCCUUCGGGUUGUAAAGUACUUUCAGCGGGGAGGCGUUACCCGCAGAGGAAGCACCGGCUAACUCCGUGCCAGCCGCCGCGGUAAUAC